UAGAGUAACUGUGAACCUGCAAUGGUCAAGGCAAUGGGCAGCUGGAGGAGAUGGAUAUGAUAGGGUUGUGUAGGGUGAAAGAGGAGACCGUGGGCCUUUUUUGGAGGUUUUGUGAAUUGCUACUCACAGGUGGCUUGUCUGGAUUGCAUAAGAUCAGGCCAUGGCUAAGUGGGCAGCACCGGUGCCCACGUGUGCAUCAGUCCUGUGCCUGUAGCAGUUCCUGUCUGCCAAAGGGCAGGAAGGGCAGAGGUCUUCACCCAGAGACCAGCAAGUGAAGCAGCUGGAUCCACGUUUCAUGUUUAUGGUGUUUUGGCAGCCAUUACCCUGUUUACCAAGACCAGCAGGAAUCUGUCAUCUUGGCUGAGUGUGGCACAACUAGCAACAGUUUGGGGAAAUAUCUACAACUGGUAUAUAGUGAUGACUGCAGAAAAAGACCUGAAUUAUUACACGCCCUUCUGAUACAGCAAUGUUCUAGCAUUCGUGUUGAAUU